CAAGGAGCAGGUACAGCCGUUGGUGUUGAUAUUAUCAGUCCCUCACCGCAGAGUAAACCAACACUGAACAGGUGUGACAAUGAGACAACACAAUCUCACAGAUACGUCUAGAAAUGUUCACUACUGCACAUAUUACACCACUUAAUUUGAAUUUGUAUUAUUUCCUAAUACAUACUGUACAUACGUGUAAUAAAUAUUUGGAAUUUGAAAUGAUGGUGGCACACUAAACUGUUGCAGUUCUCCAACCUUUCCCCCGUACACCCUUUAUGCUCUAGUGCAACAAUGGAGUUUUUGCUAUGUGCAUGAAAUCUGAUGCUAAUACUGUAUGUGUAUCAGUGUGUAUGAGAGCACAGGUCUCUCUGCUCUUAUUUAAUCUCAUAUUUUGGCUCGGCUAUCCUGAGACUUGUGGAAAGAUUCCACAGCGGGUGUGAAAUCACAUGACUGAAACUUGAUAAUCUCUUUGAAUGCUUGGCUGAACUCAGAGAGCUAAACAGCACAUCAACAUGUAUCCCACCCUCCUCGUCAUCCUGCUUUUUACAAUAGGAACAGGGGCUGUCCCUUACCCCACGUUAUCUCCAGUUCAUUUGACCACCCAUCACAGCGGAUUGACCAUCCUGAUGUGUGUGGUCCAUGACAUUCAUCAAGGAGAGAUGGAGUUAGCCUGGAUUUCCAGUGGAGCCAGAGGAACUAGUCCAGCCUCCUACAACUUAUUCCAGAGUGUUGAUGGCAUUCAGAGCGCAAUGUCACUUAUAUCUGUAGCAUCAAAUGAAUGGAUGUCUUAUAGUUGCUUUGUGAGUCACAGAGUGUCCGAUCGGCUCACACACAGACACUAUGCUGGGUUACCGAAGGAGACUACAGAAAUGUAUGACCUAGAAAUAUUUGAUGAUGAAGAAACGUCUGAAAUGUGUUCAGACCAUCAUAGCAGUUUUUUGCAAGAAGUCAGAGGAUACAAAGAUCUAAUGAUUGUACAAGCCCUCCGAGUUCUCCUUCUUAAAAUCACAAUUUUCAACGUUUUGAUGACAGUUCAAGUCGUCAUAAAGUGAGUGUCAACAAUUGAAGAUUUGGGGUAAAACAUCAGAAUGAAUUGGAUGCGGUUUACAGCAUCAGGGAACGCCAGACCAGUUAAUGUCUAUGAGAAAGAAGAAUGUUGGCGUCUCGAUGAGCAGAGCCGGAGACUGACAUUGUGCCACACGUGUAGACACAGGUGCUACAAUAUCUGGGGAGAUCAAUGUAUUAUCAGCUCAAAACCACAUCAUAUACCAAACACAACAAAAGAACUGCACUACUUUUCUGGGCCAAAAAGAGUUCAAAUGGCUCACUUUCCUUGUAAUGUACAGUACAUUGUACAUCCCAAUAGUGCUGCUGUGCAUAAGACUCUAACAACGAUUUAGGCAUUGACUGUUUAUGUCAGAAUGUAGUCUAAAUGUGACAAGCGCUUGAUCAAGCUAAAAAGAAUUUCAUGCAGUUAUUUUUGUGAAUGAAUGAUCACAAAUUGUUCAAUGUUCUUAUAAAACUCUUUCUGAACAUCUGACGAAGUGUUGUUGAAAUUUACUAUGGUACUACUGCUAUUGUAAUGU